rnacentral:lncRNA from 1 species
GAUGCUCGAGCCGCACAUGUAUCCGACCUCUACGGGUAUCAAUCGAGAUCGAUCUUGAACUGAUUUCUCCUCGUAAAAGAUUCUUCUUCUCAAGAAGAACCAUAGCCUUAAACAUUUUGAUCAAUGCCUUGAUCUAGACUAUAAGAUCAACUCCUUGAUCAGCAAUCUUCUUCUUCUUCUCCUCGAUCUUCAACCUCUAAGUCACCAAGCACUACCUCUUGACGUGUGGAAGAGGGGACACCCAACUCUUGGGCGU